GGAUUCUCUUCAAUUCUAGGUUAGUUUCCUCAAGCUUUUCUUGCUCAGCUUCAUCAGCUUCUUGUCCAAGAACAAGUUUUUCAACAUGCAUUUCUAGAACUAGCUCUUCAACAUGUGAAGACUCAACAACCAAAUCUUCAGAUUCUUCAAGUUCAAACUUUUCAAACUGCUCUUUGUUCUUCAAUUCCAUUUUCAAGUUGCUUUUAGAUUCAAG
rnacentral:misc_RNA from 1 species